ensembl:lncRNA
GAUUAACAGCCCACAGGUUGGGUGCUCGUACUCUGAUUCGCUCACUGGAGUUGGAGGAGAGAGAGAGUAGAGGACAGCAAGAUGGAGAAGUGAAGAAAAAGUUGGUGCGGCUCAGUGUCCAAUCAGGAGUGAGCAGUUCUUUCACUGCCUUCAUUGCUGUCAACAAAGACAACAGCAGGGUGAUCCAAGGACCUCUUGUGCGCAGAAAUAUUCCGACACCCAUGACACUAAGAUUUGGAUCAGUAUUGCAUGGUCAUCCUAUAAGAAGAGAUGGAAAGAAAAACGGUUAUCCGCGGCGUGGGAGUAAGUAAAGAGUGAAUGACAGAACACCA